AUUUAGCACAAGUACAAGCCUGCUUUAAAUAGACUAUAAAUAGAGCAAACAAAACACCAGAAUAAGAUCUGUCCGUAACAGAGAGUGAGAAACAGAACAAUUUAACAAGUAGCACAUAAGUAGCUAACUGAAUGGUAACAAGGAAGCUGAAGCUGAUAUCAUUUGGCAAAGUUACAUGAUUGAAGCAAGCUUUUAUUCCACUAGCAUUUCUUCCACUGAAAUAUAUAUAUUUCUCAGCCAACUGAUAGCAGUCAAGUCCCUUUUAAGCACACAAUUUCUAGGAGUUUGAACUCUCACUCAACAACUUGAUCCCUCUGAAAUUUCCUUCGCAGC
rnacentral:misc_RNA from 1 species